GACGAACGCUGGCGGCGUGCUUAACACAUGCAAGUCGAACGGAAAGGCCCUGCUUGCAGGGUACUCGAGUGGCGAACGGGUGAGUAACACGUGGGUGAUCUGCCCUGCACUUCGGGAUAGGCCUGGGAAACUGGGUCUAAUACCGGAUAGGAGCCAUUUUUAGUGUGAUGGUUGGAAAGUUUUUUCGGUGUAGGAUGAGCUCGCGGCCUAUCAGCUUGUUGGUGGGGUAAUGGCCUACCAAGGCGGCGACGGGUAGCCGGCCUGAGAGGGUGGACGGCCACAUUGGGACUGAGAUACGGCCCAGACUCCUACGGGAGGCAGCAGUGGGGAAUAUUGCACAAUGGGCGCAAGCCUGAUGCAGCGACGCCGCGUGGGGGAUGACGGCCUUCGGGUUGUAAACUCCUUUCGCUAGGGACGAAGCUUUUUGUGACGGUGCCUAGAUAAGAAGCACCGGCUAACUACGUG
rnacentral:rRNA from 1 species